ensembl:lncRNA
AAUACUGGGACUAACCAAGAGUCAGAGCUCUAAAUACUGGGACUAACCAAGUGUCAGAGCUCUAAAUACUGGGACUAACCGAGAGUCAGAGCUCUAAAUACUGGGACUAACCGAGAGUCAGAGCUCUAAAUACUGGGACUAACCAAGAGUCAGAGUUCCUAAUACUGGGACUAACCAAAAUGUACAACUCAAGCGGCUGGGACAAAAAAUUAAACAGAAAAACACAGUUUCCUUUCUCCCCUUGCACUUUUGAACACACACACACAUCUUCUUUAGAACAGGUUGUCGGUUGCCAUGGGAAUGCUCACCUUGCAAGGAUAAAUCCCAUUUGUGUGUGUGUGUGCUGUCUAUAAGAUGACUCAUUCUCCUUGCUCACAGUAUUAAGUGCACAGAAAGGUGACAUCAGAGCUCCGGUGGUGACUCAUCACAGCCACUGACCAGUUCUGCUGUGGGGAGUGGGGCACUUUAGGGGCACUUUUAAGGGCACAAAAUCUUUAAGUCCAUUUGAACAUUAAAAAAGCAGGGUGGGACCUCAAGAGCUAUAAGGCAAAUGUUACAGACCCCCACAGGUGACAUGGCUACUUAAUAAAAAAGACUUCCUGGCUAUGACUUUUUAACAUGAGGGAACAAGAUAAUGAAGUCAUGGUUAACACUUUCAAGGGGAGGAAAGGAUGGAAACAAGAUCAUUAAGACAUGGCUGCAACUUAGUAAGGGAAAAGAAUGAUAUGAAUGGCCAUGACAUAGUAAGGAAAGGGAAUGAUAGGAGUGAGAUAAUUAAGUCAUGGCUGUGAUUGUGGCCCCGUUCACACCUGGCAUUAACACAUGUCCUGGGUGAUCUGACUGUAAGUGGAUAGCACUAGGUGCAGGUGUGAACAGGGUCAAAUGCGUCUCGAAGGGGACAUAACAUGACCCUAAUUUGUCCUGGAUAGCCACAAAAGACCGACUACUCAACCGUGUCAACGAAACAAAACACCAACUGCUCAAGCUGCUUUUCAAAGCUUUAUUUGUUGUCUCAUCUCUCAAUCAUUUCUAAAUUUUGUUAGCAGACGACUUUGUUACUAUUAAAGCAAAACAAGUGAUCCGACCCCUAUCACCCGUGUGAAAAAAUAAUUACCCCCUUAAACAUAAAAUCUGCUUGUCCCACCUUUAGCAGCAAUAACUGCAACCAAACACUUCAGAUAACUGGAGAUCGGUCUUUCACUUACUUCUUGGUCUAGGAUUUACUCCUGUGCUUCGGAUCGUUGUCUUGCUGCAUAAUCCAGUUACGCUUGAGUUUCAACUUACAGACUGAAGACCGGACAUUCUCCUUUAGAGAAUUUAGAGUUAGGGUCCUUUAGAGGACCCUCUAGAGAAUCCUUAAGAGAAUCUCCUUUAGAUUUUCUGGUACAGAACAGAAUUCAUGUUUCCCUCAAUUACUGAAAGUUACCCAGGCCGUGAAGCAGCAGAGCAUCCCCACACCAUCACACUUCCUCCACCAUGCUUGGUUUACUCCAGAUGUAACGGGACGUCUGUCUUACAAACAGUUCCACUUUCCACUCAUCAGUCCACAGAACAUUCUCCCAAAAAGUUUGAGGAUCAUCAAGGUGUGUUGUGGUGAAUGAUGAAGUUUGCAUGGCGCUAAACCGGAGGCCAUAAACUUUCCUUUUGUGUUAGCUAGGUUCGCCUUGUUGCUCCAGUGUUAAUGGACUAAUGAAACAAUUCUCUCUUUGUAUGUGUGUGUGUGUGUGGGUGUGUGUGUGUGUGUGUGUGUGUGUUAAAGAGAUAGGAGGAAAAAACUAGUGAUUAAUCUCCAGAAUCAGAGGCUGUGAUUAGCGCAUAUCUCCGUGUCUCAAGUUUUAUUAGAUACUAAAUCGGUGUACAUGAUCAACAGGCAGCACACACACACACACACACACACACACACACACACACACACACACACUUGACUCUUUAUGCCGCUCCUUACUUCUGCUAAUGAGUCACAAUCAAGAGGCUCACUGAGGCCUGAAGCUAAUGAUUAGCAGUGAAGAUAUUAGCACAGCUUCAGUGUAAAUUUGGAUGCUAAUGCUAACGUAGCUGUGAUUAAAAUGCAGACGGACUGAAAAUUUCACAGCGACAGAGAUUCUGAAAUUUGUUUUAAUGCUACAGGCGUGCUUGUUUUAAUUAAACAUGUAAUCAGGAACUAUAGUAUUUACUGUAAUUCUUUAACGCGCAGACUCUUGUUAGUCCCAAUAUAAUUAUUACAUAUAGUUAUU